GCCGGACCAGCCGGACGGGAUUGUGAAGUCUUAAACCUCCUUGUCCGAAAGGACGUGCGGGUUCGAACCCCGCCCCGGGCA
rnacentral:tRNA from 1 species